AUUGAACGCUGGCGGCAUGCCUUACACAUGCAAGUCGAACGGCAGCACGGGUGCUUGCACCUGGUGGCGAGUGGCGAACGGGUGAGUAAUACAUCGGAACAUGUCCUGUAGUGGGGGAUAGCCCGGCGAAAGCCGGAUUAAUACCGCAUACGAUCCACGGAUGAAAGCGGGGGACCUUCGGGCCUCGCGCUUUAGGGUUGGCCGAUGGCUGAUUAGCUAGUUGGUGGGGUAAAGGCCUACCAAGGCGACGAUCAGUAGCUGGUCUGAGAGGACGACCAGCCACACUGGGACUGAGACACGGCCCAGACUCCUACGGGAGGCAGCAGUGGGGAAUUUUGGACAAUGGGCGAAAGCCUGAUCCAGCAAUGCCGCGUGUGUGAAGAAGGCCUUCGGGUUGUAAAGCACUUUUGUCCGGAAAGAAAUCCUUGGCUCUAAUACAGUCGGGGGAUGACGGUACCGGAAGAAUAAGCACCGGCUAACUACGUG
rnacentral:rRNA from 1 species